AACGAACGCUGGCGGCGUGCCUAACACAUGCAAGGCGAACGGAAUUUGAGAGCUUGCUCUUAAAUUUAGUGGCGCACGGGUGAGUAACGCGUAGAUAAUCUGCCCGACGAUCUGGGAUAACAGUUCGAAAGGACUGCUAAUACCGGAUAAGCCCACGUUGUCUUUGGACCGUUCGGGAAAAGGUGGGGACCUUCGGGACUCCUGUCGUCGGAUGAGUCUGGGUACCAUUAGCUAGUUGGUAGGGUAAUGGCCUACCAAGGCUACGAUGGUUAGAUGGUCUGAGAGGAUGAUCAGCCACACUGGAACUGAGACACGGUACAGACUCCUACGGGAGGCAGCAGUGGGGAAUUUUGCGCAAUGGGCGAAAGCAUGACGCAGCAACGCCGCGUGAGUGAUGAAGGCUUUCGGGUCGUAAAGCUCUGUCAGGGGGAAAGAAGUGUAUUGUGGCUAAUAUCCGCGAUACUUGACGGUACCCCCAAAGGAAGCACCGGCUAACUCCGUGCCAGCAGCCGCAGUAAGAC
rnacentral:rRNA from 1 species